rnacentral:rRNA from 1 species
UACGGAGGGUGCAAGCAUUAAUCGGAAUCACUGGGCGUAAAGGGCGCGUAGGUGGUUUAUCAAGUCAGAUGUGAAAUUUCGGAGUUCAAGUCCGUAAGCUGCAUUUGAGACUGAUAAGCUAGAGGUAAAACAGGGAAAACGGAAUUCCACGUGUAGCGGUGAAAUGCGUAGAUAUGUGGAAGAACACCGGUGGUGAAGACGGUUUCUGGUUUUAAGCUGACACUGAGGCGCGAAAGCAUGGGGAGCAAACAGG